CAAAGCAAGAACAAGGGAAAAAAAGAAAAAACAAAAACCCUAGAGUGAAAAUUCAAGAGAAAAUUAUUGGAUUUUAAGUAAUCAAGCAAUCAAAGGUAAAAUUUCUUGAUUUUGACUUGUGAUCUACCUUUCCCAUGCAUUCUUUUGCAUUUUCCAUGAUUAAAUCACAUGAUUUCAUGAUGGGUAUCUUACUGAUCAAACCCUAGGAGAGAGAAUUUGAUGAUGAUUUAGAUAGAUUUUUAAGAUAUAUGGAUGUUUUUAGUUGUUUACGGUGCUAAGUGUAAGAAUUAAGCUUGAAAUUCACAUAUUCCUCAUGAGUUCAUCAUUAGCUGAAUCUUCCUUGUAGAGUGUUGAUGGUGAAUUUGAUUUUAUUUCAAGUGAAUUGGUUAGGAAAUGAUGAAUUAUGGUGAGAAAAUCAAGUAGGAAAAAUCAUAGUGUUGAUGCACUCACCAUGGUCGAAUUUUUCAAGAGAAAAUGUGAGGAUGAUUUUACCAUAUUUCAAGUUAUUUAAUUUUUGUUUGAUGAUUUGGAGUAUUGGGAGAAAAAUAGAAUUAUUUAGAGUUGAAUUGGACGUAUUGGCCAAUUAAUCGGGUGAUAAAUCGAAUUAGGCCAAUACCAUUUUAUUUAGGUGCACAAUUGAACUUAUAUUGAACACCAUAUCUAGAUGGUUACCAGAGCGUUUCACAUUCCAUUUCAUGCAUUAGUAAAAAGCCUGAAAUAGAUUUAUAAUGGUAUGACACAGUAUAUUGAAUUAUGUGUCGUGUAUUGUAUAUAGGUGGUGAGCCAUCUAAGAAGGGUAAAGACGUUGUGUCAGAGAACUGAGAAUAUGAGUAUUUCAAACUCCUGAUACAGUGAGUAACCUUAUCAUCAUCUUGAUUAUCUGAAGUGAAUUUUAAUUCGUUUUUGUGAUUUUAUGAAAAAUGAGUUUAAAUGGUUAAUUUUUAGGUUUUAUAAGCAAAAAUGUGAUUAAAUGAAAUGAUUUUAUAAAAUUGUCUUGAAAUUGAAUGAUGAUUUUGAAAAUGAAGUAAUUGGAGACUAAUUGUUAUGUUAUAAAUCAUGGUUUGAAUUGAAUGGCUUAUGAUAAUAUUGGCAUGAAUGAUUUUAUUUUUUUUUGUAAUAGGGUCUAGCUACCCUAUUAAAGUUUAUUAACUACCAGAAUAAAAAGUACAAAGGAGGAGGACAUAAAUCGUACCUCCAAGUUACAUGAUCGUAAGAAAGUUUUGGAAAAAUACUUAGAGUAGGGAGAUUCAUUUUACAUGUAUAACUGCUACAGUAAAACAGAUAUUCCUUACUAUUACAUUGAGACAAUAUACUAUAAUAAAAUUUAAAAUAACAAAUGUAAGUAAGAAAAUCACCUAGAAUGGAGUGUUUCAUUUUAUGACCAUAAUUUUUACUAUCGUCAUAAAAUUGAAACACUUCCAUGUUACAACAAUCUAUGUGAAUAAAAUUGACAUUAGAAGCAACUACCAUGGGUUUCGAAAUGACUAGAAAUACCUCUCGCGUUCCCAACUAGUUGCAAAAUUCAUCGAGAUGGCAUCUUCAUCUGAGGCCUCAUCAUUUUCCCCCAUAUCCACAGCUCUAUCUAAGGCUAGACUGAGUAUUUUAUCUAUUGAAACUUCAGUAUCUGAAUGUCUCCUACGUCGUACCCGAGGAUGGACUUCAAUUUCUGCGAAAUUUGUUUCAGAGACAAAAGAAAUAGAAGGAACAUCACUUAAUUCUUUAUUGUACAUGCACUUACCCGAGACGAACUCCAAAUUUGGUGGAUUUUCAGCAUAAACUUCUAUUCUGUCACUUGGGCAUGCUACUAUUGAAGCAGACUUGUUAUUGUUAGUGGUUUGAGUUGCACUCUUUUCAGUAUUUGGGUUAUGUUGUCCACUGCCUUCCAACGUGUCCACAGGCCCAGUUUGACUCCCUUCCUCACUUUCUGCCAUUUGCUGGUCGUCCCCUUGUGGAACAGCUGCUGCCCAAUUUGAUGGUAUGUAAAAAUGAAUUUUUGAAUUCUCACUGGCACCUUCUUGCGUCGAUUUGAGUACACCCGUCCAUUCCUCUACAGGUGCUGUCCGUUCCGUGUCCCUCUGACCCCUGAUUUUUUUCUUUUUAAUAUUUAUUUUGCCCCGCUUGCCCUGCACGUUGAGGAAUAAAGCUGCGCGCUUUUCCUGCACGUCGCUCGGCUUGGCUGAACUUGCAGCGGCCUUUUCUCCAGCACUCAGGUCACCCUUUCCGUCUUUACCAUUUCCUCCCGUCCUCUGUUCAGCCGCUAGUUCGCGGCUCAAAGCUGCAGCUGAUCCCGCCUGACUCCCUGACAUAGUUUCUGCCGUAUUCUGGCUCUCUUCAUUCAGUACAAAUGCCACCUGCGUUUUUGACUUGACAAAAUUAUUUUUUGUUGAAAUUUCUUGCCCCGAAUUUUGGCCCAAAGUCUCGUCUUUUUCAGCUGUUGCUUGCCUCAAUUCCUGCGCAAAUGUUCCUUCUGUCAUGACUUUGUUUGUAUGGGCCCGCUGACCGGGUAAAAGGACGGAUUGACAUGCGAUAUCCCCUCCGGCUGCAGGUGCCAUUGAAACAUCAACGUCAACAGGCUUUAUCACAUGAGCUGCAUGCUCCUUAAAAUAAUUUUUAAUUGUUCCUCCUGCACUUGCCGACAAUGGGUUCUGCAUUAAUGUCUUAUAACCUUUUGCUGGCUGUGGAAAGUCCAUUUCACUCUUACUCAUUUCUUCAUUUGAUGGUUCCCACUGCCCAUGCCUUGUGGGUGACCUUACUGCUGCUGCUAUCGAUGACAUCGCAACCCCGCCAAGGCCUUUCUCUUGGUCAGAGGCGUCCUCUUGGGACUGCAUGCCUUCUGCAUGCAAAAUGGGUUCUGCUGCACGUUCAGUCGACUUUUGCUGACUCUUUCCUUUUUUGUUAUUUCUGGUACCUGGACCUUGUGCAUGGCAGACGUUAUUUCCCUCACAUUCAAAUUCAUGAACUGGACUUUCUCCAACCUGUUCGAUUAAACUCGAAAUCCCUACCGACGCCGACUGCUCCGUCACCCUUAUUCCUCCGUUCUGCCCAGUAAAUCUCGCUUCAUUGUCUAGCCGUUCCUCCACCACAGUUGUCGUACCCAAAGAAAAAUUCUUUUACGCAUAAGCAUUGUUCCUAAGCUCCGUUUUAUCCUGUUUUCCACAUUCAUUUUCCUGCAAAUUUUCUAUCACACUAAAACUAUUUGGAACCUGCACCGGUCCCUUUUCCUUGUCUUGAGCUGCUAUUUCAACUCCCCCGUCAUCCUUUGUUCCACUCUUGCCUGCUUUCAUUACCUCUCUCCAUUCCAUACCUUGUUUUUUAACGUUUAUAUCGAUCGAUUCGUUCCCAUUUUCAGUUCGAACAAGCCGCUCUCUUCUCUCGACUGGUUGUUUAUCUUUCCCAAUCUCCUCAGUAUUUAUCUUGUUUUUUUCAUCCGAAGGCUUAGCUCUUUCUGGUCCUUGCAUCACCCGCUUAUUACCCAUCACAAUGCAUGUAGAAACACUGUGCCCGACAUGGCAGCAGUGUGUACAAUAAUCUGGCAUUCUCUCAAAAUCCACCUUCUGCAUGAAACCUCCAGUAAUCUCUCCUGUUCUCCUGUCCCGCAUCACAAUCCACACCUGGUCAAGGGGAGGCUUUAGGCAAUCAUAUUCGAUGCAUACCCUCGCAAGACUAGGCCUCGUACCAUUAUCUGUAGCUUCAUCUACAAAUAGUGGACGCCCCACGGUCUUAGCAAUAACAAGUACGGCAGACUUCUCGUACAGGUGUGCCCGAAGGUUGGGGAAAGAGAUCCAGACUGGUACAAGUGAGGACUCCUUUUCAGGUUGGAAAUCCUUGGUCCAUUUAAAAACCCUCAGUUUUUGGUUAGAGAUGAACCACACUUGUUUCAACCAGAUUCGAUUCAUAUCUUGUUCAUUAGACAGCCCGAUAUGGAUGUGCUUGUAGUCAAGCCACCGGAUAUCAUAGGCACCAGCUAAGCCGAUGCCCUUGAAAGCAUUGCGGAUCUCCUGUAGCUUCGGCAUUCUUGAAAACUUCCCAACCAUGGAAUAUUAAAACGGCUGCGCAAGGGUGAUUAUCUCAUCAUCAUAAAAGCAAACCGUCGGUCGGUCUCUGUACAGAAAAGGUUCUCUGUUGAGGGGGAUAAUGGCUGACUUUUCACCCAAUGUCACACUUAGAAAGGAUUUCUUUUGUGUGCGAGGGGAGAUUGGGAGCUGGGUUUGUGUCUUCAAGUCUUGCGGUGCACCAUGAAUGGACUGUGAAACUGGGUUUUCCGUGGCUGAUAGGUUAUGAGGGGCUACCAGUUGCUUAGGGAGGGAUGGAACAAGCGGCUGCAAGGGUGGGGGAGGGACUGGCUGCCGGCCUUCCACCAUUCCUAUAACACUUGUUAAUAAUCAAUAAAUCCCACUUUAAAAUACUUUUUAUAUUGGCAUGAAUGGUUGAAUUAGUAAAUGUACUAAAAAUGUAUGAACUGUUGAUUUAUUUUGAGAGACUGUAAAAUAAAAUAAUUACCAUGUCAUGCUAUUACAAAUUUUAUUGAAUUGGUGGGUUAUAUAUUGGUCAAUGCAGUGGACGGGUUCCGUGAAUCAGUCUAUUAGAGGGGCACGGUAACUCUAUUAUAUUAAUACCUCAAUAUGAGAGGCACGGAUGGAUAACUCCUGACGUUAACACUUUAGAGUUUACUUCACGUUAAACCACCACGUGAGGGUGAACUCAGCUAACGUCAAGGAACGGUUAUAUUUUCAAAAUAAAAACAUGAUUUAUGCGUACAUAACUUUUUAACAGUCUUGGCGGACUCGGUUGGGAUAGCCCUCGGCCAAAGUAUCCCUGAUAACUGAGUAUGAAAAUGAUUUUGGCACGAGUCAAACUUUUCAAGAAAUCAUAAGCCUCAUUUAUUUUGGUGAAAUGAAUCUAUUUUAUCUUAUUAAAAUGAGUUCGAAAUGCUGAGAAUCAUUUUUAUACUCAUCUAUUUUAUCUGUCUCCAUUUAUUCAUCUUUAGAUAUUUUAGAUGGUAUUUGUUUACUCAUUGGGAUUAUAUAAUCUUACUACCCUCAUUUCCAUCCCUUUCAGGCUCAGAAUAGACUGCAGAUAGCUAAUUUUAUCGAGAGCUACCAUUGGAUUUGCAUCCUCCAAACUGUAGGUUCACAGCGUUUAUUGCUUUUGAUCAGUCAUGGGCCCGCGUGUAGUUGUAAAUUAAAUCUUAUGCUUAAAUUAUCUGUAUUACAGUAUGUAUAAAUUUAUUUAGCUUUUACGCUUUAAAAAUUAUUUACCGAUA
rnacentral:lncRNA from 1 species